rnacentral:tRNA from 1 species
GGUUCUAUGGUGUAAGAAACAUAUUAAGUUGCAGGCUUGAAGUUGAGUUUUCUAGAAUUU